rnacentral:rRNA from 1 species
GACGUAGGAGGCGAGCGUUAUCCGGAUUCACUGGGCGUAAAGCGCAAGUAGGCGGUUGUGAAAGUCCGUUGUUAAAGCCCCUGGCUCAACUGGGGAGGUCAAUGGAGACUUUAUGACUUGAGGCAACAGAGGCAUGUGGAACUCCCGGUGUAGCGGUGGAAUGCGUAGAGAUCGGGAGGAACACCGAUGGCGAAGGCAGGUCUCUGGCCAUAACUGACGCUGAGAAGC